rnacentral:rRNA from 1 species
AGAGUUUGAUUAUGGCUCAGGAUGAACGCUAGCGAUAGGCCUAACACAUGCAAGUCGAGGGGCAGCACAUGAAGUAGCAAUACGGAUGGUGGCGACCGGCGCACGGGUGAGUAACGCGUAUGCAACCUGCCUACAACAGGGGAAUAACCCGUUGAAAGACGGACUAAUACCCCAUAACACAGGGAUCCCGCAUGGGAAUAUUUGUUAAAGAUUUAUCGGUUGUAGAUGGGCAUGCGUUCCAUUAGCUUGUUGGUGAGGUAACGGCUCACCAAGGCAACGAUGGAUAGGGGAACUGAGAGGUUUAUCCCCCACACUGGUACUGAGACACGGACCAGACUCCUACGGGAGGCAGCAGUGAGAAAUAUUGGUCAAUGGACGCAAGUCUGAACCAGCCACGUCGCGUGAAGGAAGACGGCCCUACGGGUUGUAAACUUCUUUUGUAAGGGAAUAAAGUGUAGUACGUGUACUAUUUUGCAUGUACCUUACGAAUAAGGAUCGGCUAACUCCGUGCCAGCAGCCGCGGUAAUACGGAGGAUCCGAGCGUUAUCCGGAUUUAUUGGGUUUAAAGGGUGCGCAGGCGGGAGAUUAAGUCGGCGGUGAAAUUUUGCAGCUCAACUGUAAAAGUGCCUUCGAAACUGGUUUCCUUGAGUGUGGAUGAAGUAGGCGGAAUUUGUGGUGUAGCGGUGAAAUGCAUAGAUAUCACGAGGAACUCCGAUUGCGCAGGCAGCUUACUAAACCAUAACUGACGCUCAGGCACGAAGGCGUGGGGAUCAAACAGGAUUAGAUACCCUGGUAGUC